UACGAAGGGGGCUAGCGUUGCUCGGAAUCACUGGGCGUAAAGCGCACGUAGGCGGACUCUUAAGUCGGUGGUGAAAUCCUGGAGCUCAACUCCAGAACUGCCUUCGAUACUGAGAGUCUCGAGUCCGAGAGAGGUGAGUGGAACUGCGAGUGUAGAGGUGAAAUUCGUAGAUAUUCGCAAGAACACCAGUGGCGAAGACGGCUCACUGGCUCGGUACUGACGCUGAGGUGCGAAAGCGUGGGGAGCAAACAGG
rnacentral:rRNA from 1 species